GAUGAACGCUAGCGGCAGGCCUAACACAUGCAAGUCGAGGGGCAGCAUAAAAUAAACUUGUUUAUUUGGUGGCGACCGGCGCACGGGUGCGUAACGCGUAUGCAACCUACCUUAUACUGGGGAAUAGCCCGAAGAAAUUCGGAUUAAUGCCCCAUAGUACUGAGACUUCUCCUGAGGAUUCAGUUAAAGCUUUGGCGGUAUAAGAUGGGCAUGCGUCCAAUUAGCUAGAUGGUGAGGUAACGGCUCACCAUGGCGACGAUUGGUAGGGGGCCUGAGAGGGUGGUCCCCCACACUGGUACUGAGACACGGACCAGACUCCUACGGGAGGCAGCAGUGAGGAAUAUUGGUCAAUGGGCGCAAGCCUGAACCAGCCACGCCGCGUGAAGGAUGAAGGUUCUAUGGAUUGUAAACUUCUUUUAUUUGGGAAUAAACCUCUUUACGUGUAGAGAGCUGAAGGUACCAAAUGAAUAAGCACCGGCUAACUCCGUGCCAGCAGCCGCGGUAACAC
rnacentral:rRNA from 1 species